rnacentral:lncRNA from 1 species
AUGAUAACUAUAUCACACAUGACUCCUGACCACCACACCAUUAGACAACACAUAAUGGCAGCCAUAGUGCUGAACUUCACACUGGUAAAGCACAAGGAUAGCAAGGUUUCCAGUAAAAGCUAACAGACACAUAAAACCAAGAAAUGUUCAGAAGCAUUAAAAAUUUAGAAGUCAGCACAUAUGGGAUUUAGUAAAUCAAUUACCUUAGAUUUUGGAAGGAAAAUCAAGGAAAGGAAGGUAUGUAGCCCAGUACUUCCCAGUCACCUUGUUCCUUUCAGCUGCUACAGGAAAAAUUUAAUCAAAAGAUCAAAAAAUCCACAGCGUGUGUCAGCCACUGAAGCCGUGCAAGCUCUAGGCCGACUUGAUCCCUGGAUUAAUUAGUCAGAAACACAUUGCAUGGAGUAGUACUUAUCCCCCACCCGACGGCAUGAGUAGUGUGUCCUAAGGGAUUACCCGCUCUCAAUUAGACGCUGCGGCUACUGACUUGAUUUCUCUGAUCCUUAUUUCAGCCGGGCCAAAUUCAAGUCAAUAGAAUACGCUAGUUAAUUAGAAGCGCCAACACAAAACACGCACUCAACCAUGCACACCAGCACAAGCACAACACGCGCACACCACACAGCUAGCACACACGAACGCCUCCAGCAGCAUGGACACCAGACGCACGCCACCGGCAGCAGGCAGCCCACGCACAGCACAGACGGACGCCCGUGCAGAGAUUCAACCCUGCUAGACCGCAUCGGAGUCGCAUCAAAAGAAUUGAACAACAAGAGAGGGAGGGAGCAAGGAUCUGAGCAUACCUAUGAAUAGGCGAGCUGUUGUUUCCUGCCAUCUAGCUGUUGCUGCUGCUGCUUCCGACCGGCGUCCUCGCCCAUCUCUAGGCGCUAGGCGAUGGCGACGAUGUCACACAUGGCUCUAGUCGGUGGCGUGGGAGAGACGAGGAGGCUGGCGACGGAGAUGGGCCAGCGGAGGAGCGGCCACCAUCACUGGGCAGAGGAGGGGGGUGAGAAGAGGCGAGGAGGAAGGACGGGGGCCGCGGGGUCGUCAGGAGAAUCAGGGAGGAGGAGAGGAGGCGGCGGCGACAAGAGGGGAGGGAGUCGUGGUGGCGGCGAGUGUGGUGGUGGCGGCGGCAACCAUAGGAGAGGCGAGAGAGAAUGGGGGGUGGGUGGAGAAGAA